UGGGGAAUAUUGGACAAUGGGCGAAAGCCUGAUCCAGCCAUGCCGCGUGUGUGAAGAAGGCCUUUUGGUUGUAAAGCACUUUAAGUGGGGAGGAAAAGCUUAUGGUUAAUACCCAUAAGCCCUGACGUUACCCACAGAAUAAGCACCGGCUAACUCUGUGCCAGCAGCCGCGGUAAUACAGAGGGUGCAAGCGUUAAUCGGAAUCACUGGGCGUAAAGCGCGCGUAGGUGGUUAUUUAAGUCAGAUGUGAAAGCCCCGGGCUUAACCUGGGAACUGCAUCUGAUACUGGAUAACUAGAGUAGGUGAGAGGGGAGUAGAAUUCCAGGUGUAGCGGUGAAAUGCGUAGAGAUCUGGAGGAAUACCGAUGGCGAAGGCAGCUCCCUGGCAUCAUACUGACACUGAGGUGCGAAAGCGUGGGUAGCAAACAGGAUUAGAUAUCCUGGUAGUCCACGCCGUAAACGAUGUCUACCAGUCGUUGGGUCUUUUAAAGACUUAGUGACGCAGUUAACGCAAUAAGUAGACCGCCUGGGGAGUACGGCCGCAAGGUUA
rnacentral:rRNA from 1 species